GACCGUGGAGGCCACGAGGCCAGAAAGGAGUAGGAAGAGCGCCGGCCGCCGCACUCGAACUCCGCGCCUCCCCAGACCCCCACCCCCGCAGGCAGAGUCGUCCUUCCUCUUGGUCAGCCAAGUGCCGGGUUGGUCCGUUGGGUUGCGUGGUACAGAUGGCCAAACGGACUCGGGUGCAAGUAAGUGACUGACCCAAGGCGCCUCAGCGUGUCAGUGGCCGGGCAGGUUUGUCUGACGUCAAGGCAGAGGCACAGCCCGGCCCUGCAGUGCCUGUGUGGUUCUGGGGGCAGCAGUAGAGGAGGAGAUGACCUAAAACAAGCCCACAGAGUGCGCGGAACAGCUGGAAAUUCCACAGCAGGGCCGCCUGUCAAAGAGCAAGUCACUCCCCUCAACUCCACCACGCCGAUCGAAAUCUGAGCUGCACAGGAACCUGUCCAGACUUUGGGGGCCAAAA